rnacentral:lncRNA from 1 species
CGUGACGGUUUCUACAGAGUUUGAAAAUAAAAAAGAAGUGGAAAAAAGUGAAGUAUAUGCAGAAUUUGCGAAAACUCAAACAGGUGAGAUUAAGAAGAAGAAGAAGAAGAAAAAGAAGAGUGUGAUCAAUGGGGAAGAAUCAAAUGAACCCAAAUCCUCGUUUGACGCGACGGUUUCUACAGAGUUUGAAAAUAAAAAAGAAGUGGAAAAAAGUGAAGUAUAUGCAGAAUUUGCGAAAACUCAAACAGGUGAGAUUAAGAAGAAGAAGAAGAAAAAGAAGAGUGUGAUCAAUGGGGAAGAAUCAAAUGAACCCAAACCCUCGUUAGACGCGACGGUUACUACAGAGUUUGAAAAUAAAAAAGAAGGGGGAAAAAGUGAAGUAUAUACAGAAUUUGGGAAAACUCAAUCAGGUAAGAAGAGGAAGAGAAAAUCAAAAAGUGAAACAGGGAAAAUGGGUGAGGUGGUGGUUGUGGAGAAUGUACUCAGUCAUGAUUCGGAGCAAGUAAACGAAAUAGAUAGGAGGAAGAGUCAAAAGAGUGUGCAAGAGGGGGCACAAUCCAAUGAGGACAAUGUUGAACCGGCUGAAACUGCGGUUCAGAUGUCUGUGGUUGAUAGGGAAUUGUCUCCGGUGGACCCAACAAUCCGAUUGAACAAUCAAC